CAGUCGCCACGGUAAUACAGAGGGUGCGAGCGUUAAUCGGAUUUACUGGGCGUAAAGCGUGCGUAGGCGGCUUUUUAAGUCGGAUGUGAAAUCCCUGAGCUUAACUUAGGAAUUGCAUUCGAUACUGGGAAGCUAUAGUAUGGGAGAGGAUGGUAGAAUUCCAGGUGUAGCGGUGAAAUGCGUAGAGAUCUGGAGGAAUACCGUUGGCGAAGGCAGCCAUCUGGCCUAAUACUGACGCUGAGGUACGAAAGCAUGGGGAGCAAACAGGAUUAGAUACCCGUGUAGUCCCUGUCUCUUAUAC
rnacentral:rRNA from 1 species